ACGGGGCUUGUUGGAGCCAUCUUCCCGAGGUCCGCGAGAGCGCUGUCUGACUGAGGUCGGGGCUCUUAUCGUACUGAGCGUGGCCCUGUUCUGCCAGGUGCUGCAGAGACCCCAAUUGAGAUCUGGGCCCUGUUCUGCCGGGCAUUGAAGAGACCCGAGGUGAGAUCAGACCCCACUGUUGUGCCAGGCUACAGAAUAACGUCCACAUUUCGCCUCAAAUCAUCCCCUCCUCCCAGGGGGAAGGAAAUGGCUGCAAUGGAGCUGGCUCAGGGGCCAGUGACCUUUGAGGAGGUGGCUGUGUAUUUCACCAGGGAAGAGGGGGCUCUGCUGGACCCCACUCAGAGAGCCCUCUACGGGGAUGUCAUGCAGGAGAACUAUGAGACGGUGACCUCGCUGGGUAAGGAGUCCUGUUCCCUGGGUUAUUAGAAGCUGUGGGGUCUCUAAAGAACCUGAGUAUUAAUAACUUUAUACCUUUAUUUGUCAUACAAGUUUUGACAAGUUUCCUUGCCCCCCCUUUUUUGCCUUAUCUCCCAUCCACUAGUGUCAUUUUUGGACAUAU